AGGUUAUUUCAAAGAGGGCUCAUGAGGCUAUGAAACCAAGAGCUCUUAAUGCUAUGACCAAAGAUUGAAGUUCUCUAUAGAAUGCCAUAGCACUCAAUAAUGUUAUGUUUUCUUGAGGCAAUAUAAGA
ensembl:snoRNA